rnacentral:rRNA from 1 species
CUUUGAUACUGGGUGUCUUGAGUAUGGUAGAGGUUGGUGGAACUGCGAGUGUAGAGGUGAAAUUCGUAGAUAUUCGGAAGAACACCAGUGGCGAAGGCGACACACUGGCCCGUUACUGACGCUGAGGCGCGAAAGCGUGGGGAGCAAACAG